CCAGAGUCUGACAGUUUCCUCCUUCACUUGCCUUUUCUCAGCAUCAUGGAGCACAGCUCGAAUGGCUCGGAGAUUGCUGGUCAGCUUCUUCGCUUCCUUUCCGACACCCGUUACUAGCCUCACUUGUUCCUUCGCCUCUUCAACAGCCAUUGAAGUCAGCUGCUCCAAGAUAGGGGAAAGGAUCGCAUCAACCAUGGUGAAAAAGAAAAAAGAGAGAGAGAAGAAAUUGAUGGUGAAUUGUUGCAAAUGUAAGUAGCUAAUGCUGAAAGAAAUGAAGGAGCUGAUAAUGUGGUGAAAAUGUUGCCGUAUUCUUUCAAUUCUUAUAGUACUGCAAGCAAAAUUCUAAUUUAGAAAUAUUUCAUUUCAGCCCCUUGUGAAAGAAGCUACGGUUAUUAUUAUUACUUUUUUUUUUUUAAUAACAGCAAAGAGUGAAAAUGACGUACAGUUGUGGACAGGAAAUAAUAUAUAUGAAACUGACAAAUUUUUCACGCGGCGAUUCACGCGGUAUAUGAAACAGACAAAGUUUUCUAUGAUCUCUUUUUAAAGAAUUGAACAAGUUGUUAGAUAAUAUUUUUGAUCGUGUCGUCAUAUUGAGAUUUGGAAGCAUUUGCUUUACAAUCACCCAUGAACUUUAUAUUUUUUAGAUUGUUUGAUCUGAAUUAUAAGUGUUUUAUUAGCUUAGAAAUACCUUGACCAUCUCUUUCUUAUUUUCUUCUUCUUCUUUUUUUUUUUUUUUUUAAUUUGACUCGUUUGCAUAAUUAGUUGAAAGGAAAGAAUGAACAUACUAAUAAACUAGGAAAACGCUGCCACAUAAUAUUCUAAGAUUCAUAUGGAACCACUUUAUUUAGAUUUUUUCAUUUUAGCAGAUGUCUGAUUGUGGGAGUUUAGAGUUUAAUCUCUAACUUUGCUUGUGAAGUGUGAAAAAUCAAAUAAUCUUUUCAACUCGUUUUUCAACAAAACUAGAUCACAAUUCAUCAUCAGUUAUUUCUCAUUAUGUAUAAAAUGAUCAAUCUGGAGCUGGAUAUUCACAUAUUUUUCUAUUUCUAAUCAUCUCAAAAUAUAUAAUAUGAACUUUUAAAAAAAAAUAAUCAAAUUGUAAUAAAGUGACAUAAAUAUUAAAAAAUAAAAGAAAAAGUCAAAAAUGUAAUGUGGAAAAAAGACAAAACCUUUUUGUUUGUUCUAUUCAUGGCAUCAUCUAAAUAUGAGAAAUGAUGGGUUGAUUGUCAUUGUGAACAACCAUAUAAUUGCAAGACGUGAAUACCAUCAACGUUAUAAUAAUUCAUGGACCCAUGCAUCCUCUGUUUUUCUAAUUAUUCCGUGUAGAAGGCUAAAGUUUAACGUGUGAUUCUCAAAUUCAUUGUCAAGUGAUUUGAACGUUUUAACGGACAGCGCUUACUUUUCUUUUUGAAGGAGCACAAUAACAACUUGAAGAUUCCUGGAAGUUGCCUGCAGUUCAAAUAUUUUCUUCAGACGAAAACCGUCAAUAAUUUCCAAACUUAGAAGAUAUUUAUUUAUUUUUUCCCAUAACCCACCAAAAACUUUUUCAUUUAGUGUAACUUUGUAAUUUUCUUAGAUGAUACUUAAAACUGCUAAUACCUUCUAAUUAUUGUUUUAAAAAUCUAAAUAAUUGCAUGCCCAAUUAACGGAUCAGUAGUGUCAGUUCGACAUAUUUAUUUUUUUAAAAAAAAGAAAUACACAGUUGUUUGAUGACUCUGGAAUUGAACAUCAGGAAAUAAAGAGAAAAAAUAACACACUUUAUGACGAUCAUUGCAGAUGACAUAACAGAUGUAAGUAUUUAUUGCCAAUUAAUUGGCAUUCUUAUUAUCAAGUAAUUGUUUUAGACUCGAAUUCAAAAGCUCUGCUCUGCUCUGCCCUUCGGUAAUCCGCCUGUUCAAAAAAUAAUAUUGUUUUAAAAAUCUCAGUAACAACAUGCCCAAUCGAUCACACAACGACUUUGUUGAAAUUGAAACAUUAUUGGGAAAUUAAUGAAGAGUAGAGAGCAAUUAGAGAGCUUAAUUAAGCUAAACAAUUUGAUUAUUAACUGUCUAGUCUCUCUUGCACCAUUCCAGUUAUCCUCUGAUCGAUCACACAAUCUAAUGCAUAAUCUAUUCUUUAGCGUGCGGCUUUAAACACAGCUGUUAUAAACUUGGUCAGCUUAACAAAUAUAACGUAACAUAUGAUAUUAUUAAAAUAUUCAAUUAUUCUCUUGGAAAGAAGUAAAUUCACUCAAUUUGAAAAAAGGUUGAUAAAGAUAAAAAUAUUUUAUAUUUUAUUACCUAAUAAUAUUAGAAUCUUAAGAUGCAAUUGGCAUUGUUUUUGUUUUGGUGUUCUUUGUUUUUUUAACGAAUCUUAAUAAAUAUUUUAUUAGAAUCUUAAUAAAUAUUUUAUAUUUAUAACAGUAGUAUUAAAAAUAGCCCAAUCUCGCAAACCAUCAAUUAAAUUUAAGAUAAGUAGUGUUUUAUUAUUCAUUGAGUUAUAAUCUCUAGUAGUUAAGAUUUUUUUGUACGUCAUUAACAUACCAAUAAUGAUAUUCAUCAUUAAAUCUUAUUAUUUUUUUGCAUUUUUUAGGGUGAAAUUGUAAUUUUCAUUUUGGGGGUAAAAAUGUCAUUUUAUUAAGUUUCCGUUAGUUUUCUUAACGGAUUCCAAACGGAAGUGGAAAAGUGAAACAAAAUGUAACUUUAGGUGGAUUCCAGCUAAAAAAAGAAAGAAUUGUGUAUUUUUGAAAAAGUUGGAAAAAAUGGGUGGACGGUGGAUAUUUUCCCUUCAAUUAAUUAUAGAUGCAUGAGACUAAGGGUCUAUUUUAUAGUAAGAUGUGGCUUUUUAAUUAUAACUGUUGUAUAAUAACAACUGUAACUACUAAAAAAAAAAUGAAUUAUGGGAAUCGGGUAAACUUUCAUUUGUAAGUAUUAUGAGUAAUUAAUAAUUUGUAGUUUCGAAAGUAGAAGUACACAUUUUUUGACAUGCCUUGAAAAUCUGUAUGUAACCUUAUAUCUAAAUAACUGAUCAAGUAUAUAUCAAGUAAUUCAAAAAUGGGCUGGGACUGAUGGUAAUUGUAGACGUUUUGAGGAUGAGUGAUACUAUGGGCACUACUCUAGAAACUUUAAAACUCCUUUUCUUUAUUUAUUCAAUCGAGCUCCAACCACUUCCUUCGGCGAUCGAGCUCCAGCCACAGCCAUUCGCAAAUUGCAAUCCACAAUCCGCGCCUGAAAUUGCCAUUCACAAUCCACAACUCACAGCCAUGACUUCACAUAGAGAACAACUCCCACAGCCAUCACGCGACAGCGAGAUCGAGCUCUUUUAACAUUCGAAGAGCAGAUCUGGUUGCGAAAGUUGAUUUUUAAUUUGCUUGCGAGCUGAGAUAUUUCGAAUUUUCUCUUUUAUUUAUUUUUUAUUUUUGUAAGUUACUAAGCCAAAAGCUUUGCAUAAGCUUCUGCUUCGGUUUUGCUAGUAUGAGAAGUAAAUUAAGGGACUUUUACUUGUUUAUUUAUAUUUUUGGUAGUUGCUGCAAGUGAUUUUUCUUUUUGAAUUGUUUUCUUUUGACACUUGUGUUGAACAACGAAGUGUAAUUUCGUUAAGAAGAGGAUGACAAAAUUUGAAGAUUGUGAAGCUGCAAAUGUUUUUUUUCCCUUUUCAUAAAUUGCUCAUGGUGCAGUCUCCUUUUGCUUGUUGAAGAAACAGUUAAGGGGGUAUGUAGUUGGGAAGAAAGAGGAAAUGAAAAUGAAAAGAGAAAGCAGAAGUUAAGUCCUCAGGUGGCAUUUUUUCAAUUAAAAAAAUUAAUGACAUCGUUUUCUAAAGCUUCGGGGUUUGACCCGGGGUAAAUAGCCGAACUCUUUUCUUUUUGAUGGAGCACAAUAACAACUUAAAGAUUCCUGGAAGUUGCCUGCAGUUCAAAUAUUUUUCAUUUGAACAAAAACCGUCAAUAAUUUUCAAACUUAGAAGAUAUUUAUUUAUUUUUCCCAUAACCCACCAAAAACUUUUUCAUUUAGUGUAACUUUGUAUUUUCUUAGAUGAUACUUAAAACUGCUAAUAUCUUCUAAUUAUUGUUUUAAAAAUCCCAAUAAUUGCAUGCCCAAUUAACGGAUCAGUAGUCUCAGUUCGAUAUAUUUAUUAAAAAAAAUAAGAAAUACAGAGUUGUUUGAUGACUCUGGAAAUAAAGAGAAAAAAUAACACACUUUAUGACUAUCAUUGCGAAUGACAUAACAGAUGCCAGUAUUUAUUACCAAUUAAUUGACAUUCUUAUCAAGUAAUUGUUUUAGACUUUAAUUCAAAAGCUAAGCUCUGCUCUGCUCUGCCCUUCGGUAAUUCCCCUGUUCAAAAAAUAAUAUUGUUUUAAAAAUCUCAAUAACAACAUGCCCAACAUAUUUUUUUUUAAAAAAAGGAUCGAGCAACACCGUAGCUUUUGUCAUAACGACUUUGUUGUAACUGAAACAAUAUUGGGAAAUUAAUGAAGAGUAGAGAGCAAUGAGAAAGCUUAAUUAAGCCAAACAAUUUUGAUUAUUAACUCUCUAGUCUCUCUUGCACCAUUCCAGUAAUCCUCUGAUCGAUAACACAAUCUAAUGCAUAAUCUAUUCAUUUAAUUAAUCAAUUUGAAUAUAUAUAUAUAUAUAUAUAUAUUUGUUAGAGUGACGCUAUUGGCACCCCUCUAUAUCAAUUAAAGAAAUAUAUUUUAAAGGGAGCUGGUAAGUAAUUUACAACCCUUCAAACUUACGUGAACAGUAAUAGUAAUUAUAAUAAGUGGUGGGAUCUAGAUCUACUGCAUGAAUUUUAAAGGAACUAUAAAUUAUUUAACAAAAUCUUAUUUUAAAACGAUUGUGCGGGACACAGCACAUGCCAACCCGGGCUUUAUCUCUUUUCACUAAUCAUAUAUGUAGUGGCAGACAUCGGUGGCCAAUUAAGGGAUGAACACAACCACUCCACCAAGUAAAUCUUGACGCGUGUGCUUUUAUUUCCAAUUAUUCUACUGUCUUUUUCUAAUUACUUUUAUCGCAGAAGUAAUUAAUUCUGAAGGAAAUGAAGGAGCUAAUAAUGUCGUGAAAGUGCUGCCACAUUCUUCCAAUUCUUAUGCUGCAAGCAAAGCUCCAAUUUACAAAUAUUUCAUUUCAAAAGAAGUUAUUGUUAUUAUUAUCUUUCUUUAUUCUUUUUAAUUUUUUUGACCAGUGUGGACUGGAAAAUAUUGUCAGGUCCUACAUCCGCGAUUCACGCAGUAUAUGACCUGAUAAAUAAUACACGGGUCUUAUUAUGUUACAGUUUUAUGUGUGUAAUAGCCCAUGACCUGAUAAAUAAUUUAUUAAGAGAAGUAAAAAUUUAAUGAUUGCAUAAAUAAUUCGGUAACAGAAUUCUUUUCACCCGUUAUUAAUCGCUUGCAGAUGACUUACUGAAAUUGUAAAUAUGUUGAACAGUGUUUGACUGUGAAGUGUGAAAAAUUAAAUAAUCUUUACUAUUAGUUUUGCAAUAAUAAUAAACAACAAAUCAUUGUUAAUUAUUUCUUAUUUAUUAUGUAUAAAUUGAUCUAUCCAGAGCUGGAUAUUUACAUAUUCUUCUAUUUUUGAUCAUUUUGAAAUUUAAUAGAAUUUUUUUUUAAAAAAAAUCAAUUUGUAAUAAAGUGUCAUAGAUAUUAAAAAAUGAAUGUUAAGGUCAUUAUUUAUAGAGUUGGCAUUUUAUGACAAGUCUAGUUAAAUUGGAAGUUUAUUUAUUGCAUAUCUUGUAAUAGAGAUUAAUUUAUUAAUUCCCUAAUUUAGUCAGAUUCUAAUUUAUUAGGAAUAUUUGUUUCCUAAUUUAAUUAGAUGUCUAUUUUAGCAAGUCAAUUAAUGGUGGGAUUCUAUAAUUGGCGCAUGAGAUUUAUUUAGAGCAAAAAGUUGGUUCAAAUAGGAAGUCUUAAGUUUGGUAAAUCCAUAGGUUGUAACAUCUCAACUUAGUGAAUUGUUUUUCAUCUGAGUGUGGCCUCGUGGAUGUAGGAUUGAUUAAUCUGAACCACGUAAAAAUCUCCGUAUCAUUUAUUUUCUACAUUUUAUUGUGUUUUUUGAAAAAUUAAUAUUUUUUAUGCGGAUGAACACUAACCGUAAACAGUAAAUGUGAACAGCAACCGUGAAUAAUUGCUGUGAACAGUAUCCAUAAACAAUACUUUUGAAAAAAUUAAUCUAUUUUUGAUACAUCUAAAUUCCUUUCAAUGAAAAUAGAAAGUCAAAAUUGUAAUGCUCAAAAAAGACAUUAAUUGUUGUAACUUAAAAGAUAUAUUCAUAUAAUUUUUCAGUUGUAUAAUAAAUUUUUUUUAUAUUUUUAAUAAUUUUAUUAAAAUUAUUAUUUAAAAUUUAUAUUCAUUAUAUUAUUAAGUUUUAUUUUAUAAUUACAGGUUAUGGGAUGUAAAGGAGUUUGGGAGCUGUAGCCUUUAGUUGGCUUAGGGAGAUGUUAAAGUUUUGAGAAAUGCUUAGAAAUUUAUUUUAUAUAACACGUUCUCAAUUUUAUUACUAUAAACUUACGCUGUAUUGUCUAGUCUUAGUAAGUAACGACUCAAUUGGAUGUGGGAGGAUCCCUUCCGCUUUGACCAAAAAAACUGUUUCGAGGACAGUUUUCUAACUCAACUCAAUUGCGGAACAAACAAAGAAACGCUAAGAACAUUAAUUAAAGUUAACAUACAGAGCAAACAAGUCAAGAGCACACACAAGAGGAGACAGACACUUGGCCAAGAAAAUAAUUGACCAGGGAAUUUACAAGGAAACUCUCUUUUCCAGAAGUUACAAGAGCCCUGACACUAUUCCUCUCGAGGUCUAGUUCAAGUCGCCCAAGCCUCUCAAGCUCCCUUAAGAACUCUGCUUUCUUGCUGUUCAAGAAAGCGCCUGAUUGGAAUCACAUGCUCCACGUGACAUCUGGCAUAACUAAAUCUGCUGCCGUACCCAGCCAAUUUAUGGUGCCACUUAUGAUACCCUGUCUCGUCAGCUUCCGUACCCUGCGUCAUCAUAGGACCUUACAUCUUGGAACCUCCAUGAAAGCUGAAUCUCUAACAGCCCAUCAUAAAGAUAUUAGUUCUAAAAUAGGGAAAUUACCAAAAAUACCUGCGCAUUUUGAAAUUUGUCAAAAAAUGAAGAGUAGAAAGCAAUGGGAAAACGUAAUUAAACAACCAAUUUGAUUCCUCGGAUCGCUUUCAUCUCAGGACUCUUUGUCUUCCCGUGCGUCUUCGAUUCCACAGGACAAUCUUGGAUUGAAUUUAUACAUCAGAAGAAAAUAUCAGUAUGCCCAAAAUAAAAAGUUGCUUCCAGUGCAGAAAUAAGAGAAAUUGACACACCUUUUUCCACCACAGAAGAUGGUGUCAUAUAGAAGUAUUCUGUCGCAGACUUAACAUACCUAUCAAGUAAUUAAUAAUUCCUACUUUAAAAAGUAGAGCAAUUGGAUAUCUAAUCCGAAAAUUCAAGAUAUAAUAACUCUUGAAAAUUAUAUAUUCAUAUACAUGUUAGUAGCGUGAUGCUACCAAUAUUCGCACCUUUAGCAUUCAAACACUUGAUCAUUGAAAGAAUUUAAGAAAAAUGUUGAUUGGUUACUGACAUUAACAUAACAUAAAAUUUGAUCCACAAUUUACUCAAUUUCUGAGUUGGCUUACCAAAAGUAUUGUAGCAGAAAUAACCAAAUCAACCCAGGUCCUUAUAUGGAGCCCCUGCGCGUCAAUUAAAGUAAAAGCUCGAUCCUCUGUUAUCCGAAAUGGUCAAACAAAUAUUAAACCAAAAUGUUGAAGUCUCUUUCUUUUGCAAUUCUAGCUCUAACUGAUGAGAUUGAUGGAAAAGAAUAACCAACAUUAAGAUUAAUUUUUAUUUCAAUUACUAGGAAAUAGAGAAUUAAAUGGAAUUCUCUCAGUAAAGCUCACCAAUAUCUGUCUCCGUCAUCACAUAGAUAUAUCAGACUAGCUAUCUAAUCCUUUUAUUUUAUUUUUUUCCUUUUUCAUUCAACAGCUUCAGCAUAUAACAAGAAAGCUUGGGCUCCUACAAUGCUUAGGCCUCUUCACGAUUAAGUACUCGUACGGUAGCGCAAGUAGCAGGCCUGGCACCUCUCUGGAUCUGCCAGAGAAUAAAUCUUUACACAUGCCCCCUGAAAAUCUGUUACAUAAAUUAUGUCCUAAUAAUCAGCAAUAAUUCAAAGAUGCGGAUAAAAAAGCACUAUAAUGUACAAACAUACACCUCGUUCAUAUUUUUUGUAUCACAUGAGGCAUAAACUCCUCAAGAGUCAAGUCCGACAUUUAAUUCAACCCAUAAACUUGUGCUUGUAGCCCGCAUAAAUGGUUAAACAAAUAUUAUAUUUUCGACUUGAAGAUUGGAUUACAAAUAUAUAAUAGGAAAGUAAAAUGGAGGAGGAGAAAGAAAUUACCUGUAGUAGUUGAGAAAUUACUGCCAAAAAUAGAAUUACCCGUAGGAAUUUUAUUUGGUUAGUAAUUGAGAAAGAAAUUACCUUAGGUGAUGGCUGAAAGGAAUUUAGAUCUAUCAUAAAUAGAUGUAAGCAAUUAAAAACUAAAAAUUAAUUACUUAAUUAAUUUUUUUGGAAAUACUGUUCACUGUUACUGUUUACGGUUCUGUUCACCACAACUGUUUACCGUUACUGUUCAUCCGCAUAAAAAAUAUUAAUUUUCCAAAAACACAAUAAAAUGCCAAAAACACAAUAAAAUGCAGAAAAUAAAUGACACGGAGAUUUUUACGUGGUUCGGAUUAAUCAAUCCUACAUCCACAAGGCCACGCCAAGAUGAAAAGUAAUUCACUAAGUUGAGAUGUUACAACCUAUGAAUUUACCAAACUUAAGACUUUCACUUACAGUUUAUCACCAUACAAUUUACUCAACCUUAGAAUGAAUCUGCUUCUCUUGAAUAAUUGCUACCCCUCUUGAUCCACGAUCUUCAAGGCACUUCGCAAAGUGAUCAAUAGCAAUUAUUUAAUUCUUCAAUGUCUAGUGAUCCAAGAUCCACAUAGACUCUCCACAUAGAUGAAAAAAAGGUAAGAAAACAAAUCAACACAACAUUAUGCGCCAAAUCCGGAUUCUCUAGGGAGGAGGCCAAAUUUUGCUUCUCUGCUUUAUACUUUGUGUUGUGCGAUCCAACUUCAAUUGUGAAAUACCUCUCUUUAUAUAGGCACUAGGGAUUCACCAAAAUAGCAAGUCUUAAAAGAUUUGGAUUCUUUCCAAAUAAGAGUUUCUUUUCUCUUAUAAUUCCCAUGAAUCUGAAUAGGAUUAAAUCUGAUCUUCUUGCCUUACUUGUCUCCUAAGAAAUAUCUAGAGCAUUUAAUGACUUUCUGUUUGAACCAACUUCUUACUCUAAAUAGAUUGUUUGAACUAACUUCUUGCUCUAAAUAAAUCUCAUGCGCCAAUAAUAAAACACCACCAUUAAUUGACUUGCUAAAAUACACAUUUAAUUAAAUUAGGAAACAAAUAUUCCUAAUAAAUUGGAAUCUCACUAAAUUAGAGAAUUAAUAAAUUAAUCCCUAUUACAAGAUAUGCAAUAAAUAAACUUCCAAUUUAAGUAGACUUGUCAUAAAAUGUCAACUCUAUAAAUAAUGGAAUUAACAAUGGCUAUGGUACUUGCGGUACUCGUUUUAAAAAUCCUCAAGGUUCGAAUUUGACAUAUUGGUGAUUGAUUAGGAUGCUGGGAAUGUGGCAUAUCUUGGGGCAGUCCUCUCUUGUUUCCUUUCCAUGAUGUUCUUCUAAAACAGAACAUGAACUAAUAUCCGAAUCCUGUAGUGUUGUUUGUUGUGCGCGGAAUGCGGAAUCAAGCGCACCAAAAAAUCACAGAAAAAUAAAGGACACAAAAUUUAACUCAGAUACUAUCUAUGAAUAAUAUAACACAGUACCUCACUUCAUGCAAGCUUUGAUAUAUUAUUCCUUCUAUCUAUUUAUCCACUGCUAAUUGUUUUAUAAAAAAUUUGGUGCACUGUAGUGAACCCAAUAACUCCUAGCUAGAAGCAACAAUGUCCAAUUAAGCCGCUGAUACAAUCAAUCAAACAAUAAGGAAAGGAUCAACAACACAAAAAGCACACGCAAGGCACAAAGAUUUACAUGAUAUAUCCACAGGUGGUGAUGCUGGUAUCCACUGUACGUGUGAUGAAAACAAGUGUAUAUAUAUAAAGAACACUACCUGUCUCCUCACAAUAACCCCCUAGAACACAAGCGCAAAUAAAAAUGAGCCAAUUCCUGCUCUGCUGUGCCCUCAUGUACGUAACUCCUCUGCUAAGAAAUAUUGCCUUAAAAUAUCGGUAGCAUAUGCAUGCAUGACCAGCAAAUCAAUUAGACAUAUAAAAUUAUCAACCACACAGGAAAUCAGCAAAUCAGUGGUUUCAUGAAUUUGUAAUAUUUGAACAUCAGAAUAUGAAGAGUACAGGGCAAUGGGAAAAAGUAAUUAACCAACCAAAUAAAUUUAAAUCCAAAUAAGAUAAGUAACGUAUGAAAGGAGGGUUGAAGCCCACCUUAGAAACUCCUGUCUAUGGAGGCCAAUAAAUCUCCUGCUAUCUGUUUGCUUAGAUCUUUAUGUAUUUCUAUACACUUUUUACUCUACUCUGUUGUUCAACCUUCUUUGGUUUUAUGUAUCUAUUUUAUGUGUAUUGAGAAGGCUAGUUACUAGGUNNNNNNNNNNNNNNNNNNNNNNNNNNNNNNNNNNNNNNNNNNNNNNNNNNNNNNNNNNNNNNNNNNNNNNNNNNNNNNNNNNNNNNNNNNNNNNNNNNNNNNNNNNNNNNNNNNNNNNNNNNNNNNNNNNNNNNNNNNNNNNNNNNNNNNNNNNNNNNNNNNNNNNNNNNNNNNNNNNNNNNNNNNNNNNNNNNNNNNNNNNNNNNNNNNNNNNNNNNNNNNNNNNNNNNNNNNNNNNNNNNNNNNNNNAUAUAUUUGUGCCAAUUUUCACACCUUUAGCAUUCAAACCUUGCUCUAGAACAACUGCUGUGGUCCGAUGCUGCAGGCAAAAAAUUUGACCUACGAAGCAGCCUCACUCACCAACCCAGCCCCAAAUAAAUUUUUUGAAAUGCCUUGAAAACCUUAACAUUAUAUCCAAAUAAACAUAACUUGUGUUUGUGACGUAAUGAGAUUGCAGUGCAUUCGUAGAGUGUACACUUAUCUGCCAUUUCGUCGGAACAAAUUUUUUUACUUCUCUUAAAAUUUGCAUAAUAAAUUGCAAUAUGGACAAGUACCUACUUGGAUAUGAUUAUAUUUUUGUUCUAGUUUAUAACCUGUUUUCAAUUUUUUAGAUAUCUAUGAUUUUCAUUAAAUCACUACUCUAGUUGGCAUUUCGCACCACCCGCAAUUGAUUAGUUGCUCUCUAAUCCAACAAAAUUAAUAUGGAAAGAAAUGAAUGGCCAGCGAUAAAUAUUCCAACAUUAUGCAUUAAGCCAUUCCACUCCUACAAAACUGAAUCUCUUUGACAGAAUGCUUUUUCACGUGAUCAUGUAUGUGUCAAAGUUUUGUGACAGAUAUAUUAUUUUGCAGAUGUGGCAAACACAAUCGUUUCAAAAUCUUAGAGGCCUUGAAAUUUUGAUUAUUACAAAAUCUAAGAGGAUAGUUACAAAAUUCUGUCACAAAUAGUAAAAGUUAAGUGAUUCUUGACAUAAUACUAUCAAAAGGUUUAAAUAAAAUCUCACAUUUUAAUAUUUUACAAAAAUGUGUUUUAAAUUUUUUUUUUGACAUAAUUCUAUCCAUGAAUUUUCUUUUAAAAUUUUUAAUUCCACGUAGGCAUUGAAAAAUGACAGCUUUAAAAGAUUCCAAUGAUUUAACUGAUGUGAAUAUAUCUUCAAUAAGUCAACAACAAAAUUCUAUGAAACAAAAUUUACUAUUUUAAUUAUUUUAUAUUGCCACAUCAAUAAACUAAAACGAUGACAUUUCAUAUGCUCAAAAAAGAAAAACUUAUGUAGGCCGAGAUCGCCAUCUCAUCAUUAUUAAAGAGGCGUGUUCAACCAAUAAGAAUUUGCCAUCUAAAAAGUUCAAUCAGUCUUUUGAAAAGCCUGGCUCGAGUCUGAGCCUGAGUGUUUCAGGUCGGACUCAGCCUAAGCUUGGGCAUAAAACAGUAAAACACAAUAAAUGCUCAAAAAAUAAAAGAAUAAAUAUUUUAUUUUUAAUUAAAAUACACUUUUUAAUAUAUGUUUAACGUAUCCGGAACAUAUAUUUAAAGUUUUAAUUCUUUAACAGAACUUUUAAUACCUAAUCUAAUAAGAAAGUUUAUAAAUUAUAAAUUUAUAGAAUACAAUGAAAAAGGUUUAAAAAAAUUAAAGUAUAAAUAUGAGGUUUUACAAUUAAAAUAUCAAAUGGUGGCAAAAUGAGCAGCCAAAAAGUGCGCCAAAUCAAAAUUAUCCAAAAUUCCUCUCUUCGAUUCCCUUUUUAUUUUAUGUACCGCUGAUAUAAAAUUAACACAAAAACAUUCUGAAAUCGAAAGCUUGGAACGAAUCUCACGCCUCUCGCCUUCUCUUUCUCGCAUUUCUCAUUCCUCUUUGCCUCUCUCUCUCUCUCUCUCUCACACACACACAUAAAUGUUAACCUCACCAGUCCUCACAAAUAAGCCGUUUGCUUUUAUCACUUGCUGGGCAAUCAUCUCCAAAAAUGAAACAACUGAAAUUCAAAUGGGAUAUUUAUUUUUCUCUCCAGAUUCUUUUCUCUGAAGUAAUGUUAAAACAAUAUAUAUAUAUAUAGAGAGAGAAAUGUUCAAGUCAGGAAUUUUAAAGUGCAGGAAAGUACGGGAAACCUUUAAAACCGCAUGGUUUUAAAGGCUUAAAACUGUAAGCCUUUAAAGCCGUGUGAUUUUAAAGUUUUUCUGGACUUUCCCGUACUUUAAAUUCCCUGACCAGAAAACUACUAUAUAUAUAUAUAUAUAUAUAUUUGUAUAAUUUCAGCAAAGGUCCAGAUCGCUCAAGGCCUAAUUUCAUCUCAAGGUUUGUCAUUUUCCUCUUGAUUGCCUUUCGUCAUUGGUUUCUCAUGUGACAUUACUUUACUUUGUUCUUUGCUUAUUGUAAAUUUAUUCACGGUUUCUACAUUAUAAGUUACGGUCUUUGUUUACUUUUAUUAAAAAUUAUGGUAUAUGAAUAAUAAUAAUAAUAAUAAUAAUAUUGGCUUGUUUGCGUAAUUGUCUUCGAUAUUGACUGUAUUUACAAGAUUCUCUGUGACAUAUUUCUUAUUGUGAUUGUUUAAUUAGUCUCGAUUGCAAUUUUUACAAGAUUUGAUGAAUGUUAAAAUUUAAGUACCAAUUUAAAUUUGUACACCAAGUGUUUGUUAUAAUGCCAUGUGUUAUCUUCAAUAGAUUUUUUUUUUCUUUAACACGUAGUAUAAGCCUGAUAAUAUUUUUCAAUUUCUUUCCAAGAUGCAGUUUUUGAUAAAGAAUAAAACAAAUGAUUGAGACUGUUUCGAUGCUAAUUUUUCAAAUUAGCGCAUAUUAUGCUACUUCAUCUCAAGCAACCUAUGAUGAUAGCUAAUAUUGAUGCAAUAUUCUGUCAUGCCUGCGGAUUCAACUUGCUAAGAUUUUGGUUAUGCCUUCAGGUUCAAGCAUUGUUGCUGAUUAUGUGAGCUGUUGAGAUUUUAGUAUUGAGCAUGGCUGCUUUAGAUUCAAUUUGAGCAAAUGUAAUUGUUUCCUUUUAAAAAAAAAUUACAUUUUCAGAAACUGUUAUAAAGAUUGUCAGCAGUAUUAUUUCGUAUUAAUGUCAACUUCUCAUUUACAUAUCUUAACUAAAGCUUUAAUUUCUUUUAAUUUCUCCAUCCUUCAGGGGAGGAUUUGAUGAUUUGCUAUUGUGUGAGAAGAAAGCCAAGAAGCAGAUGUAGAGGGUUGUUAUUGUUUGGGAAUUAUUUUUCAGUGGGGACAAUUUCAUAAAAGUAAUUUAAUAAUGGAUCAAUUUUAUAAAUUUUCUUUUGUAGUCAGGGCGAACUAAUAUGUUACAAUUCAAAAUAUUAGCGAAACGAUUUUCUUCUCUCUCUCAAAUCAUGCUCACCACUCUCAAUCGAAAAAACAUAGUCCUCUGCUCUGACUUCUCAGUUCUCACCCUUAAUAACACAGUUCUUUUUUUGUACUCCAUCGAAAAUUCAUAAAAUAAUGAUAAUGAGACUAUUAUUGAAUAUUUUUAAAAUAUGAAAAAGCAUUGAGAACAAGUGUAAGAAUAUUUUUACUGAUAUCAAUGAGUAUUAAACUUUAAACAAUUAUUUUCACUAAUUCUUUUAUUAUAAUAUUGUCCCCAAUGAAUUAAUUUCCUGGAUCACCUCUAUUUGAAUUUUAUUUUUUUACUAUUUUUUUCUCAUUGUUAAAUUUUCACAUAUGUAUCUUUCAAGUACAAAAUCCCUUUUUUUCUCUUUUUUUUUUCUUAAUCUUGUUUAAUAAGAACUGAAGUUAAUCUUAAAUGUUAAUUGUUCGUUUUGACAAACAUAGUUCUAUGUGUAUGUGACUUUUAAUUUCUGUUAUUCCCUUUUUUCAGAUGUAACCUUGAACAUUAUUAUAACAUAGUGUGGUUUUUUCUUAUAUUAAAAGUUUGGAGGUGGUCAAAUGGGUAAAUUUUCCAAUAAUUUUCCAACGUGUCUAUGAAUCUUGUGUCGGCUCUUCAUAAUCUUUAUCAAAUUCUCAAUAAUUUUUAUCUUAUCUGAUAUAAUAUUAAAAGCUUGAACUCCUAUAGAACUCUCGAUGAAUUUCUUUCUAUUUCUUGGAGUUCACUUAUACGUGACAGAUGUAAAAUUUAAACCCUAAUAUCAAUGAAAAUACGUAUUAUCCCAAGUAAUUAAAUGGGACCGUUUUGCUAGGAAACAGACAAGAAACGACAGUGAAUACAUUUUACACCAAAUUUCUUAAAAAGAAAUUGAUAAAAUAGGAUGCCUGCGUUCCAAGAGUGCUUUCUUAAAAAUAGAUACACAAAAAUAUUUUAAAGUGUUUUUAUAAGGGGAAAAAAAACUUAUUAAUAUGAUGCAUGCAUUUCAAGAGUGUGCUUUCUUAUAAAUUGUUGUUAUGAAAAUAAUAAUAAUAAUAAUAAAUUAAGAUUUGAAUUUGAAUGACUAAUUAAUUAAUUAAACUAGUAGUAGGUAAACCCAUGUUAUUAAUUUUUUUUAAUUUUAUAUUAUAAGUUCUGAUUACAUUCCUCAAAUCUGUUGAAAGUUAUGCACUUAACACAUCUGAAGAAAAAUUGAGUUUGAUAUAUUGAUUGAUUGCACAAAUAUGGUCUAUAUAGAGUAGACGGACCCGUUGGGAGACAUUUUGAUAUUGAGGGUCUGAGGAUGGGUUUGUGUUUUUCCAAUUGAGUUUGAUUAUAUUGAUUUCACAAAUAUUCAUGUCUUGUUUUUGGUUGGUGCAUACUUUUAAUUAGGGAUGGCAAUGGAUUGGAUCUGAUCCAAGAUUCAUGUGAUCCAAAUCCAAUCGGAUCGGAUUUGAAUCGGUUUAAAAUGGAUUUGGAUCGGAUUUGGAUAUCCAUGUGCGGAUCUAAGACGGAUCUAGAGCAGAUCUAAAUCUAUCUUAAUAUCUAAAUCCAUAUCCAUAUCCACUCAUCUUUUAAUUUUAUUUUAUUUUAAAUGUUUCUUAACAAUUGUGAAAUUAUAAUGAUAAUAAAUUUUAUUCAUAACAUAUUAGUAGUAUUUACUAUCCAUUUAAACUCUCAAAACUUAAAUGUUAGUUUUGUAAAUUUAAAGGUCAGCCAGCCCCAAAGCAUGUACAUGCAAUAUUCAAAUUGCAAGUCAAGUAAUAUAACCUGGCAAUUUAUUUUAUUAUAUUGGCCAAAUAAUUUUUAAGAAAUAUAGUUAUUCAUAUAUUUAAUCAAAUAUGGUCAUAAUAAAAAUAAUAAAGGACUGAAUAUAAAUCAUAUUUAAUUUAUAUGUCAUUAUCUAAUGUUGUAGGAAUGAUGGUAGGUGUAUCGUGGAUAUUAGAAUGAUGAAGGAGACAAUAGAAUAUUAGAUUGGUCUUACUCCUGCAAUUACUUCGGAAUGAUAUUUUAUUAUCUUUCUUAUUUGUUGUUUUGGUGUAAAAGUAUAAGCUACAAUAUUUAUUAUAUUUUUGAGAAAAUUAUAUAAUUUAUUUGUUAUCAAUACAUUUUAGCCUUCAAUUUUCAAUCUAAAAAAUUAUUACUUUUUUAUUACUGAAUUUUAGAAUUCAUGACGGAUCUAGAGCAGAUUUGGAUUUUAAUUUUUUUUUUCGGAUUUGGAGCAGAUAUAGAUAUUUAUUUCUUUUUUGGAUCUGGAUAUGAAGCGAAAAAUAUGGAUUCAUGACGGAUCUGGAGCAGAUACGGAUCUUAAUUUUUAUUAUGGAUUUGGAUUUGGAGCAAAGUAGAUCCAAUCCAUAUCUAUACCAUUGCCAUCCCUACUUUUAAUGACUUUGUUUUGCGGUUCUUGUGUUGUAUGUACAUAUUGUUUCCUUUUCUGUCACUAUAUUCUUACAAGGACUUUUUUGAUAGAAUAAAAUUAUGUCAGUAACAUGGUCUGUGACAAAAAUUAUUCUGUAAAAAAAAAAAAACUCAAUUUUGUAGUGGUUCCAAAUAAUGGUUUAGUUUCUUUCCUCCUCGUUUUGUCAAUAAUUGAUUCUAUUCCUGGUUAAAACAAGUUCUUUACUUCUCUAAAAAUGUGCAUAAUUUCCCCACUUAUAGAAGUGUCAAGAUAUUUUUGACUUUCUUUUUUUUUAAGGACUAAUACUAAUUUAUUGUUUGGUUGUAAGUACUAGAAAUCAAACAGGAGAAAAUAAUUGAGUUUUUUUUGUUAACUUAAAAAUACGUAUUAUAAAUGUUACUUAUACAAAUGCAUAUUACUAUUCAAAAUAAUAAAAAUUUUGCAUUGGAAACAAUUUUGAAAAAAAAAUAAAAGUUUUUAAUGGAGAAAGGAAUUGUGGAGGGAAAGUUUGAUAGAAGAUGCACACUAGCUAGUUUUGGAAUUAUACCGUCAGGCGUCAAUCAUUUUAUAAAAAAAAAUGGAAAUAAUUUGAUCAGCCACCAGAGUUUUACUUCAGUGAUUUUCUCAAUACGACGUACGGUCCUCAAAACCUUAUCAUGAUGCUUGUAUAUUCUAAGCUUCAUGACAUCAUAUUAAAAACGUAUUGCUAAGGUAAUUUGAAAUUCGUUUUAUCCAAUGAAUGUUACAUUUACUGGUAUGUUUAAUAUUUUGUUUUGGUUAAAAAUUUUGCUAUCUAACAGCUAAUAACUGAAUUUGACUCAUUUUUAUGUAAAUUUUAUAGACCCACCGAUUCACCAUUUUUUUUAAUGUUAUGAUCAUUGUAGGCAUGUUAUAUUUUAAAUUAUGACUCCAUGCGAAAUCAAAAUUUAAAUUUCACCAUCUUUUAUAGGAUUAGAUUAUGAUAAUCAAAUAACACAAUAAACAAACACAAGGUAAAAAAAUUUACAUGGUUCGACAUAUUAAUUAAUAUGCCUACAUCCACGGAUGAUGAUAUUAAUUAAUGAAAAAGUGUAUAAAUAACAAUAAGCUCUCAUGUGCGCCAAAAAGAAAAAAAAAAGAAACACCAAAAUCAACACUCAAAAUCAAUCAAUCCCCAGCAGUUUGGCCUCACAAGAGCUCUCUCUGUGUUGUGCUUUCCCUCAUUCAUUCUCUUUACAAAUACAAGGCUCGCAAAAAAACAAACCGAAUUACUAAAAACAUACAUAACAGAUUAAAAAAGCACGCGCCGCGCCCGUCCCCCAAUUCCUGAUUUGCGACGCUGAAAAAUAUCGCUUUCCCCAAAAAAAAAAACAAAUGAAUCAGUUACACAAAUAUAUCUAAUUUUAAAUUAAUGAAGAAGAGUAGAGAGAGAGCAAACGAGAAGGAAAGCGUAUACAAAUUAUAAUUACUAACCAGAGUUAUUAGCACCAUUACAUAUAUAUAUCCCUGCUGAAUUCCCCCUCCUCUGUUCACCAUUCGUUUCUAAAAUGGAUUAAAAAAUAACUACUAAUUAAUUUUAAUUAAAAUAGAGUGAGACACGCAAUGCAUGCAGGAGAUCUAGAAAUAAAUUACCCGUCGCGGUGGCCGUGGGUGAUUGUAAUUGACUAAUUGCAGCCGCGCGCUUUCAGGCAAUGGAGAUUUUGGGAAUGUGGCGUAUCUUAGGCCAGUCGUCUCCUGUCUCCUCUCUGUAACGUUCUUGUAAAAUAGGACAUUCCCCAAAAAUCUCCAAAUUCUGGAGCGUUGACUUCUGAAGAAGGUGAUCGGGCAGUGCUUUUAAUUUAGGGCAUCUCAAAAUAGUCAACCUAGAAAGACGCGGCAUGAUUAUGAUUUCUCCCUUCAUUGCAGUCCCGAAAUCCCACUCUUCCAAUUCUUUUAUAAAACGAAAUUCCAGCUCUUUCAAUUUGGGAAAGGCAAUAACUGAGGAGCCAUCCGUAUCACUUUCUACCCCCAGAAAUUCGUUACCCACUCUUUUCACACCCAACAUUCCGCCAAUAAGAAGACCUUCAAGGGAUGGCAAUUUUCCCAAAGGAGGCAAAUGCUCGCAAUUUCUCCACCAGAAGAGAGAUAAAUCCUUUAAGUUGGUUAACGACAUGAACCAAUUUAUGGGGACAACAUUCCUCCUCCCUCUGUAUCCAUUUAUCCGUAAUUUCUUUAAAUUAGGAGGUGGUCCCAAGGCUUCAAGAAGCCGUUCAUCUUCAUCCUCCUCAUUCUCCCUCCUCCCAGCUAGUUCUUCAUCUCCAUCUCUUAAAUGAUCAAAAUAAAGUUCCAACUCAACGAGAUAUUUCUUUUUCUCAAGUUCAGCCCUUCUAGCCUCCCCCGCAUCUGACACACCACCCAGCCCACGUAUACUACAUUGUCGAAGGAGGUUAAGCUUUUUAAGAGACCCAAGGCUACAUGCUCUAUCAUACCCUCCCCCCACAACAAACUUUGUCACAUCCCGAAGACUGAUUAAUUCCCCAAUCCCUACCGGCAAGUAUCUUAAACAAUCAGUGUCUUCAUUGUGUAAAUACAUCAGCUUUCUUAACUUCCCAAUCCCUCGAGGUAAUUCUCUAAGAUUUUCACAUUCAUCAACAUUUAAACGUUCUAAAUUAUAUAACUCACACAACGUCUCGGGUAAUUUUUCUAUCUUCUUUUGACCUUUCAAAUUAAGGUAUUUCAAAUGUAACAAUUUUUCUAUAUUUGUUGGAAUUUCCUUGAUGUCAUUCACACUUGACUGCCUAUCACCCGCCUUUAAUUUUAAUGCCCUUAAACAAGUUAAUUUAUCAAAUAAUUGAGGCAGGACUUCACUAGACCAUGAAUAUUCAUCACUUUUAACUAAGAGGCUACGCAAUCCUCGCAAUCCUUUAACAUUACCCCAAAUGGAGAUCGGAACCGAAGCCCCCCUACGUAGAGUUAACAGUAAAUGAAGGAUUUUUUUCUCCCCAAAAGAGCUAAUAGCUAACUCUUCACCACUAUGAAUUUCUACUGUUAAACAUUUAUUACUACAUAAAUAUUGGGCAAAGUCGUGCACGAUAUCGUGCAUUUUGCAAUUAGAGAUUUCACCAUCAUCACCUUUGUCAAAAUCCUGAAAGAAUGAACGGUUAGCUAAGAUGUUGAAAUACUCAUCACCAAUAUCCUCCAUCUCGUUGCCUCCUUUCUCACUAAGAUAACCUUGUGCCAUCCAUAGUUCAAUUAACUUAUGCUUCCGUAUUUCAUAGUCUUUCGGAAAGACGGCACAAUAUGAGAAACAACACUUUACCUUGGAGGGUAAUUCUUUGUAACUCAACAAUAGAGGGGCUAAAAGGCCUUUCUCAAUUGCUUCUAGUUCCCAUAUCUCACUCUCUAAGAUAUUUUGCCAUUCUUUUUCAGUGUUUUUAGACCGCAAGAGACUAGCAAUUGUCUUUGCAGCUAAAGGUAAGCCCUUGCACUUUUUUACAAUUUCUCUACCAAUUUUUUCUAAAUUUUCACGUUUUCCUAUGGUCUUACCAGAAAUUGCCAACGACUGAAACACCGACCAGCAUUCCAUUUCAGACAAUACAUUGACAGAGAUAACAUGAGUUGAUCCCAUAAUACGGGCAACUGUUUCUUUACGUGUGGUAAUUAAAAUUUUACUUCCAUGGAGACUAUUCUUUAAACAUUUGUAGAAUGGUUCCCACUUAUAGUAAUCUUCAUUCCACACGUCGUCUAAGACAAGCUGCUGUACGGCCAAGGCGGAUGUACGGUACAGCAGCCAAUAUCCUCCAUCUCUUUGGCUCCUUUCUCACUAAGAUAACCUUGUGCCAUCCAUAGUUCAAUUAACUUAUGCUUCUGUAUUUCAUAGUCUUUCGGAAAGACGGCACAAUAUGAGAAACAACGCUUUACCUUGGAGGGUAAUUCUUUGUAACUCAACAAUAGAGGGGCUAAAAGGCCUUUCUCAAUUGCUUCUAGUUCCCAUAUCUCACUCUCUAAGAUAUUUUGCCAUUCUUUUUCAGUGUUUUUAGACCGCAAGAGACUAGCAAUUGUCUUUGCAGCUAAAGGUAAGCCCUUGCACUUUUUUACAAUUUCUCUACCAAUUUUUUCUAAAUUUUCACGUUUUCCUAUGGUCUUACCAGAAAUUGCCAACGACUGAAACACCGACCAGCAUUCCAUUUCAGACAAUACAUUGACAGAGAUAACAUGAGUUGAUCCCAUAAUACGGGCAACUGUUUCUUUACGUGUGGUAAUUAAAAUUUUACUUCCAUGGAGACUAUUCUUUAAACAUUUGUAGAAUGGUUCCCACUUAUAGUAAUCUUCAUUCCACACGUCGUCUAAGACAAGAAGAAAUUUCUUCCCGGCAACACAUUCUUGAAUAUGUUGCAUGAGAGAUUGAAACUCUACAAGGUCUUUGGCAGAACCUGGCUUUAGAGACUCAAUGAUUGCUCUGGCGAUCCUGAACUCAUCAAAUGGCUCUGACACACAGACCCAUGUUCUUUUGUCAAAAUUUCUUUCAACAUCACCGUUGUUGUAGGCAAAUUGAGCAAGAGUUGUUUUGCCUAUGCCCCCCAUCCCAACAAGUGAGAUGAUAGAGGGGCCUUUCUGUUCUUUACUACUCUCACAUAACAACCUAUUAACGAGUUCGUUCUUCUCUUUUUCUCUACCAAAUAUCUCGGACUCAUCAAUUGAGGAGAUGCUUGGCACUCGUUGAUCCGCUCUCUCAUUAGUAACAUUCACAACAAAACCAAAUAUGUCUUUCUGUUUGGCAAUAUCAUCAAGAGUUUCGUUGAUUUCUUUUAUCUUCAGAGCAAUGUCACGACGUAAGACAAGUGGUUUGCAGGCAAAGCAAGAUGCAGUAGGAAAGAAGGAACAUACCUUCUUGUUAGGAACGAGAGCAUCAUUCUCGUGAUCAUCCACUCCGUCGAUUUGCAGUUUGAGCCUUGCAGUGUUCCACUCACCCAACACGUCUUCCAUGUCGUAACAUGUGCAUCUGAGUUGAUCGAGCCAGAGUCUGACAGUUUCCUCCUUCACUUGCCUUUUCUCAGCAUCAUGGAGCACAGCUCGAAUGGCUCGGAGAUUGCUGGUCAGCUUCUUCGCUUCCUUUCCGACACCCGUUACUAGCCUCACUUGUUCCUUCGCCUCUUCAACAGCCAUUGAAGUCAGCUGCUCCAAGAUAGGGGAAAGGAUCGCAUCAACCAUGGUGAAAAAGAAAAAAGAGAGAGAGAAGAAAUUGAUGGUGAAUUGUUGCAAAAGUAAGUAGCUAAUGCU
rnacentral:lncRNA from 1 species